rnacentral:lncRNA from 1 species
GAAACGGGAAGACAGAACUAAUUUCUUGGAAUGCACUAUCCGGAAAUUACUAUAAAAGCAGCUACAACCCUGAACCAUAAAUACCAAUAUACACUCCCUUGUUCAACUUGAAACGAAUACAAGACAUCUGAGUUUAUAUUAGAAUCUGAUGCUAAUUUCAGGUUAAUAUACCAAUCAUAGCUGCAUAAAUUUUUCACAUUUUGUGCUCUGGAUACAUGCUACUGUACUAGCAUUCUCCACUCGUCAUUUGCUUUACACAGGAUAAUCAGAGUUACCCAAAGCUUUCUAUCAAAAAUCUACUCUUCUGGGGCGAAGUUCACUGAAUGCUGUUUUAGCUGUCACAGCAACAUCAACGAAUAACUGUUUUGCCGUACGUUGGCCUUACUGUCAGAUCUUAUCAAUAAUUCAAUAUAUGUUCACCGACUUCAUCAUAGGACAAGAUGCUGCUGGCAUCAUCAGAUUGACGGGGAUAAAAUUCAUUUGCUUAUCCUGCAAGCUAGAAAUGAAUUCUCUAUCAUUGAUAAAACAAUCUGGACAGUUUUGCAAAAAAAGUAACACCCACAAUAUGCAACCGAACUCUAAAUCAAACUCCUCAUGCUCCUGAGUGGCACAUAAGGGCUAAAUCAGAAGAGUGGUUUUCUAAACCAGCUCAACCAGAGGCGGAGCUAGGAUUUAAAGUGUAUGAGUUCUAAAUUUAAGAAAGGAACCGUGACUUAAAACUAAUAUACAAUAACAAGCAGACUAAAGAACGAGUACUGAAAUUUAAUAUAUAUUUUAAAAGUACCAAUUACUUUAUUUCAAUUGCACUCGACCAAUUACUUUAUUUAAAAAAAUAAUAGAAGAGGUCAACAAUCGAUCAAACACAAAAGUUUAAUCUGAAAACUUCUAAAGUCACUAAUUUUAUUAAGGAUAUUGGUUUCACUAAGAAAGUAAAAAACUAAAAACAAGAAAGUAGGACCACACACCUUGUCGGGAACUCGACUUUUGAAAUUUUGGGAAGCACAAAAGUACAAAUUAACAAAGAGAAUAGAGGUCAAAAUGUGGGACAACCCUAAAAUCAAAGAUUAAAAAUCAAAUUUUUGUAUAAAUUGUUAACACAAAUAUGAAAUAUAAG